rnacentral:rRNA from 1 species
UACGGAGGGUGCAAGCGUUAUCCGGAUUCACUGGGUUUAAAGGGUGCGUAGGAGGGUUGGUAAGUCAGUGGUGAAAUCUCCGAGCUUAACUUGGAACUGCCGUUGAUACUAUCAAUCUUGAAUAUCGUGGAGGUGAGCGGAAUAUGUCAUGUAGCGGUGAAAUGCUUAGAUAUGACAUAGAACACCAAUUGCGAAGGCAGCUCGCUACACGAAUAUUGACUCUGAGGCACGAAAGCGUGGGGAUCAAACAGG